rnacentral:rRNA from 1 species
CACCGCGGUUAUACGAGAGACCCAAGUUGUUAGACAUCGGCGUAAAGAGUGGUUAAGAUUUAUCCAGGACUAAAGCCGAACGCCCUCAGAGCCGUUAUACGCACCCGAAGGUAAGAAGCCCAAUCACGAAAGUGGCUUUACAUUAUCCGAACCCACGAAAGCUAUGACA